rnacentral:rRNA from 1 species
CAUGCAAGUCGAGGGGCAGCAUCAUCAAAGCUUGCUUUGAUGGAUGGCGACCGGCGCACGGGUGAGUAACACGUAUCCAACCUGCCGACAACACUGGGAUAGCCUUUCGAAAGAAAGAUUAAUACCGGAUGGCAUAAUUAUUCCGCAUGGGAUAAUUAUUAAAGAAUUUCGGUUGUCGAUGGGGAUGCGUUCCAUUAGGCAGUUGGCGGGGUAACGGCCCACCAAACCUACGAUGGAUAGGGGUUCUGAGAGGAAGGUCCCCCACAUUGGAACUGAGACACGGUCCAAACUCCUACGGGAGGCAGCAGUGAGGAAUAUUGGUCAAUGGACGAGAGUCUGAACCAGCCAAGUAGCGUGAAGGAUGACUGCCCUAUGGGUUGUAAACUUCUUUUAUACGGGAAUAAAGUGAGCCACGUGUGGCUUUUUGUAUGUACCGUAUGAAUAAGGAUCGGCUAACUCCGUGCCAGCAGCCGCGGUAAUACGGAGGAUCCGAGCGUUAUCCGGAUUUAUUGGGUUUAAAGGGAGCGUAGGCGGGUUGUUAAGUCAGUUGUGAAAGUUUGCGGCUCAACCGUAAAAUUGCAGUUGAUACUGGCGACCUUGAGUGCAACAGAGGUAGGCGGAAUUCGUGGUGUAGCGGUGAAAUGCUUAGAUAUCACGAAGAACUCCGAUUGCGAAGGCAGCUUACUGGAUUGUAACUGACGCUGAUGCUCGAAAGUGUGGGUAUCAAACAGGAUUAGAUACCCUGGUAGUCCACACAGUAAACGAUGAAUACUCGCUGUUGGCGAUAUACAGUCAGCGGCCAAGCGAAAGCAUUAAGUAUUCCACCUGGGGAGUACGCCGGCAACGGUGAAACUCAAAGGAA